rnacentral:rRNA from 1 species
CUAAACCAUGCACCGAAGCUGCGGCAGCGAACGUAUCACCCAAGACAACUUUACGGAGUUGACGAUUGACGGAGCGAAGCGACGUCAAAGCGUUCAUUAAAGUCGAGUUGGCUUAGGGAUACGUUCGUUGGGUAGGGGAGCGUUCUGUAAGCCUGUGAAGGUGUGUCGUGAGGCAUGCUGGAGGUAUCAGAAGUGCGAAUGCUGACAUAAGUAACGAUAAAGCGGGUGAAAAGCCCGCUCGCCGGAAGACCAAGGGUUCCUGUCCAACGUUAAUCGGGGCAGGGUGAGUCGACCCCUAAGGCGAGGCCGAAAGGCGUAGUCGAUGGGAAACGGGUUAAUAUUCCCGUACUUGGUGUUACUGCGAAGGGGGGACGGAGAAGGCUAUGUUGGCCGGGCGACGGUUGUCCCGGUUUAAGCGUGUAGGUGUGUGUUCCAGGUAAAUCCGGUUCACUUUAACACUGAGGCGUGACGACGAGGCACUACGGUGCUGAAGCAACAAAUGCCCUGCUUCCAGGAAAAGCCUCUAAGCAUCAGGUAACAUCAAAUCGUACCCCAAACCGACACAGGUGGUCAGGUAGAGAAUACCAAGGCGCUUGAGAGAACUCGGGUGAAGGAACUAGGCAAAAUGGUGCCGUAACUUCGGGAGAAGGCACGCUGACACGUAGGUGAAGUGAUUUACUCAUGGAGCUGAAGUCAGUCGAAGAUACCAGCUGGCUGCAACUGUUUAUUAAAAACACAGCACUGUGCAAACACGAAAGUGGACGUAUACGGUGUGACGCCUGCCCGGUGCCGGAAGGUUAAUUGAUGGGGUCAGCGCAAGCGAAGCUCCUGAUCGAAGCCCCGGUAAACGGCGGCCGUAACUAUAACGGUCCUAAGGUAGCGAAAUUCCUUGUCGGGUAAGUUCCGACCUGCACGAAUGGCGUAAUGAUGGCCAGGCUGUCUCCACCCGAGACUCAGUGAAAUUGAACUCGCUGUGAAGAUGCAGUGUACCCGCGGCAAGACGGAAAGACCCCGUGAACCUUUACUAUAGCUUGACACUGAACAUUGAGCCUUGAUGUGUAG